rnacentral:rRNA from 1 species
AGCGAACGCUGGCGGCAGGCUUAACACAUGCAAGUCGAACGGGCUUCUUCGGAAGUCAGUGGCAGACGGGUGAGUAACACGUGGGAACGUGCCCUUCGGUUCGGAAUAACUCAGGGAAACUUGAGCUAAUACCGGAUACGCCCUUUUGGGGAAAGGUUGACUGCCGAAGGAUCGGCCCGCGUCUGAUUAGCUUGUUGGUGGGGUAACGGCCUACCAAGGCGACGAUCAGUAGCUGGUCUGAGAGGAUGAUCAGCCACACUGGGACUGAGACACGGCCCAGACUCCUACGGGAGGCAGCAGUGGGGAAUAUUGGACAAUGGGCGCAAGCCUGAUCCAGCCAUGCCGCGUGAGUGAUGAAGGCCUUAGGGUUGUAAAGCUCUUUUGUCCGGGACGAUAAUGACGGUACCGGAAGAAUAAGCCCCGGCUAACUUCGU